CAAGCGACGGGGUGACGCAGGAAGGUAGCCAUACCAGUCAGUGGUAAUACUGGGGCAAGCCCGUAGCGUGAGAUCUAGGUAAAUCCGGAUUUCGUGAAGCGUGAGAGGUGAUGCAUAGCCGAGUGAGGCGAAUCUGGUGAUCCUAUGCUGCCGAGAAAAGCCUCUAGCGAGCACACACACGGCCCGUACCCCAAACCGACACAGGUGGUCAGGUAGAGAAUACCAAGGCGUACGAGUGAACUAUGGUUAAGGAACUCGGCAAAAUACCCCCGUAACUUCGGGAGAAGGGGGACCCCUUACUGUCAUGGCACGUGCUGCCGGCAGCGGUGGGGGGUCGCAGAAACCAGUGAGAAGCGACUGUUUACUAAAAACACAGGUCCGUGCGAAGUCGCAAGACGAUGUAUACGGACUGACGCCUGCCCGGUGCUGGAAGGUUAAGAGGACCGGUUAAUCCCUUCGGGGGUGAAGCUGAGAAUUUAAGCCCCAGUAAGCGGCGGUGGUAACUAUAACCAUCCUAAGGUAGCGAAAUUCCUUGUCGGGUAAGUUCCGACCUGCACGAAUGGCGUAACGACUUCUCAACUGUCUCAACCAUAGACUCGGCGAAAUUGCACUACGAGUAAAGAUGCUCGUUACGCGCGGCAGGACGAAAAGACCCCGGGACCUUCACUACAACUUGGUAUUGGAGUUCGUUACGGUUUGUGUAGGAUAGGUGGGAGACUGUGAAAUUCACACGCCAGUGUGGGUGGAGUCGUUGUUGAAAUACCACUCUGAUCGUAUUGGGCUUCUAACUUCGAACCGUAUAUCCGGUUCAGGGACAGUGCCUGGUGGGUAGUUUAACUGGGGCGGUUGCCUCCAAAAAUGUAACGGAGGCGCCCAAAGGUUCCCUCAACCUGGACGGCAAUCAGGUGUUGAGUGCAAGUGCACAAGGGAGCUUGACUGCGAGACGUACAUGUCGAGCAGGGACGAAAGUCGGGACUAGUGAUCCGGCACCCCCGAGUGGAAGGGGUGUCGCUCAACGGAUAAAAGGUACCCCGGGGAUAACAGGCUGAUCUUCCCCAAGAGUCCAUAUCGACGGGAUGGUUUGGCACCUCGAUGUCGGCUCGUCGCAUCCUGGGGCUGGAGCAGGUCCCAAGGGUUGGGCUGUUCGCCCAUUAAAGCGGCACGCGAGCUGGGUUUAGAACGUCGUGAGACAGUUCGGUCUCUAUCCGCCGCGCGCGUCAGAAACUUGAGGAAACCUGUCCCUAGUACGAGAGGACCGGGACGGACGAACCUCUGGUCUACCAGUUGUCCCACCAGGGGCACGGCUGGAUAGCUACGUUCGGACAGGAUAACCGCUGAAAGCAUCUAAGCGGGAAACCUCUUCCAAGACCAGGUUUCUCACCCUUUUAGAGGGAUAAGGCCCCCCGCAGACCACGGGAUCGAUAGACCAGACCUAGAAACCCCGCAAGGGGCGCAGGGAACUGGCACUAACCGGCCGAAAACU
rnacentral:rRNA from 1 species